UACGAAGGGGACUAGCGUUGUUCGGAAUCACUGGGCGUAAAGCGCACGUAGGCGGAUAUGUCAGUCAGGGGUGAAAUCCCGGGGCUCAACCUCGGAACUGCCUUUGAUACAGCAUAUCUUGAGUCCGAUAGAGGUGGGUGGAAUUCCUAGUGUAGAGGUGAAAUUCGUAGAUAUUAGGAAGAACACCGGUGGCGAAGGCGGCUCACUGGCCCGUUACCGACGCUCAGGCGCGACAGCGUGGGGAGCAAACAGG
rnacentral:rRNA from 1 species